GAGUCAGAGCUCGGCAGGAAGUGGGACCGGUGCCUGGCGGAUGCGGUCGUGAAGAUAGAGAUGGGGUUUCACCAUGUUGCCCAGGCUGGUCUUGAACUCAGGGUCCAAAUGAUCCACCUACCUUGGCCUCCCAACGUGCCGGGAUUACAGGCCUGAGCCACCACACCUGGUCCAUCUUGAUAAUUUCAUACUCUGGCUUGGCAAAGACGGAAGGGAAGCCAUGGUGAAUGCACAGCAACUUCUGUGAGUCCUUCUCUGUUUGGUUGUCUUAUACCUAAAGUGUUUUGCUUCCAGGGUUCACCAGGGUUAUUUUCCCACCUGUUUGCUGUAAGAUGACUGUUAUAAUCACUUGUGUUUAGCAUAGGUGUUGUAUAGCUGAGUUAAAUAGCUUUCUUAAGCCUGUACUUUAGGCAGUGGUCCUUUAAAAAAGUAUUCUUCAAGGAUCUUUUCACCCUGAGGCUUGAAUAAUAUCUUAACAGAAAAUUAUCAUAUGAUUUUGUCCUGUAGGAAGAGACAUUUAUUUAUAAAUACCCUUGCCCCCGUUACUAUCUUAAGAAAAGCAGUUCUAGGCCAGGC
rnacentral:sRNA from 1 species